AGUGAACGCUGGCGGUAGGCCUAACACAUGCAAGUCGAACGGCAGCACAGAAGAGCUUGCUCUCUGGGUGGCGAGUGGCGGACGGGUGAGGAAUACAUCGGAAUCUACUUUUUCGUGGGGGAUAACGUAGGGAAACUUACGCUAAUACCGCAUACGACCUACGGGUGAAAGCAGGGGACCUUCGGGCCUUGCGCGAUUGAAUGAGCCGAUGUCGGAUUAGCUAGUUGGCGGGGUAAAGGCCCACCAAGGCGACGAUACGUGGCUGGUCUGAGAGGAUGAUCAGCCACACUGGAACUGAGACACGGUCCAGACUCCUACGGGAGGCAGCAGUGGGGAAUAUUGGACAAUGGGCGCAAGCCUGAUCCAGCCAUACCGCGUGGGUGAAGAAGGCCUUCGGGUUGUAAAGCCCUUUUGUUGGGAAAGAAAUCCAGCUGGCUAAUACCCGGUUGGGAUGACGGUACCCAAAGAAUAAGCACCGGCUAACUUCGUGCCAGCCGCCGCGGUAA
rnacentral:rRNA from 1 species